UUAAGCAUAUUACUAAGCGGAGGAAAAGAAACUAACAAGGAUUCCCUCAGUAACGGCGAGUGAAGCGGGAUGAGCCCAGCACCGAAUCCCCCGGCCUGUCGUCGGCGGGAAAUGUGGUGUAUGGGACGCCAACUGCCGUCCGUGCUGGUGUCCGAAGUCCUCCUGAUCGGGGCCUCUCCCAGAGUGGGUGUCAGGCCUUUACUGGUCACCGGCCGGUCGGCUGCGAGCGUCUCAGGAGUCGGGUUGUUUGGGAAUGCAGCCCAAAGUGGGUGGUAAACUCCAUCUAAGGCUAAAUACUGGCACGAGUCCGAUAGCGGACAAGUACCGUGAGGG
rnacentral:rRNA from 1 species